CUCGUAGGCGGUUUCGUAAGUCGGAUGUGAAAGCCCUAGGCUUAACCAAGAAAGUGCAUUCGAAACUGUGAGACUUGAGUAUGGGAGAGGGUUGUGGAAUUCCCGGUGUAGAGGUGAAAUUCGUAGAUAUCGGGAGGAACACCAGAGGCGAAGGCGACAACCUGGACCAAUACUGACGCUGAGGAGCGAAAGCGUGGGGAGCAAACAGGAUUAGAUACCCUGGUAGUCC
rnacentral:rRNA from 1 species